rnacentral:rRNA from 1 species
UACAGAGGGUGCGAGCGUUAAUCGGAAUUACUGGGCGUAAAGCGUGCGUAGACGGUUUCGUAAGUCGGGUGUGAAAGCCCCGGGCUCAACCUGGGAAUUGCAUUUGAGACUGCGUAGCUAGGGUGCGGAAGAGGGAAGCGGAAUUUCCGGUGUAGCGGUGAAAUGCGUAGAUAUCGGAAGGAACACCAGUGGCGAAAGCGGCUUCCUGGUCCAGCACCGACAUUCAGGCACGAAAGCGUGGGGAGCAAACAGG